rnacentral:rRNA from 1 species
UACGGGGGGGGCAAGCGUUGUUCGGAAUCAUUGGGCGUAAAGGGCGUGUAGGCGGUUUGUUAAGUCAUGUGUGAAAUCCCUCGGCUCAACCGGGGAAGGACGCAUGAAACUGGCAAGCUAGAGUACCAAAGAGGGGGGUGGAAUUCCCGGUGUAGCGGUGAAAUGCGUAGAUAUCUGGAGGAACACCGGUGGCGAAGGCGGCAUUCUGGACCAACACUGACGCUGAGGAGCGAAAGCCAGGGGAGCAAACGGG